GACGAACGCUGGCGGCGUGCUUAACACAUGCAAGUCGAACGGAAAGGCCCUGCUUGUGGGGGGUGCUCGAGUGGCGAACGGGUGAGUAACACGUGAGUAACCUGCCCGUGACUUUGGGAUAACUUCAGGAAACUGGGGCUAAUACCGGAUAGGAGCUCCUGCUGCAUGGUGGGGGUGGGAAAGUUUGGGCGGUUGGGGAUGGACGCGCGGCUUAUCAGCUUGUGGGUGGGGUAGUGGCUUACCAAGGCUUUGACGGGUAGCCGGCCUGAGAGGGUGACCGGCCAAAUUGGGACUGAGAUACGGCCCAGCCUCCUCCGGGAGGCAGAAGUGGGGAAUAUUGAACAAUGGGCGGAAGCCUGAUGCAGCACCGCCGCGUGCGGGAUGACGGCCUUCGGGUUGUAAACCGCUUUCGCCUGUGACGAAGCGUGAGUGACGGUAAUGGGUAAAGAAGCACCGGCUAACUACGUG
rnacentral:rRNA from 1 species